rnacentral:rRNA from 1 species
AGUGAACGCUGGCGGCGUGCCUAAUACAUGCAAGUCGAACGAAGUGGCGCACGGGUGAGUAAUAUAUAGUUAAUCUGCCCUACACAGAGGAACAACAGUUGGAAACGACUGCUAAUACCUCAUAGUGUAGGAUGAGACUAUAUCGUAUCAGCUAGUUGGUAAGGUAAUGGCUUACCAAGGCUAUGACGCGUAACAGGUCGAAGAGGAUGAUCAGUCAAAUUGUAAGUGAGACACGGGCCAAACUCCUACGGGAAGCGGCAGUAAGGAAUAGUACGCAAUGGGGGAAACCCUGACACAGCAUCGCCUCGUGAAGGAUGACACUUUUCGGAGCAUAAACUCCUUUUAUCAGGAAAGCGGUACCUGAUGAAGAAGCCCCGGCUAACUCCGUGCCAGCAGCCGCGGUAAUAC